rnacentral:rRNA from 1 species
UACAGAGGUGGCAAGCGUUGUUCGGAAUUACUGGGCGUAAAGGGCGCGUAGGCGGUCCGAUAAGUCCUGUGUGAAAUCCCUCGGCUCAACUGAGGAACUGCACGGGAGACUGCCGGGCUUGAGUUCGGGAGAGGGAAGCGGAAUUCCGGGUGUAGCGGUGAAAUGCGUAGAUAUCGGAAGGAACACCAGUGGCGAAAGCGGCUUCCUGGUCCAGCACCGACGUUCAGGCACGAAAGCGUGGGGAGCAAACAGG